UGGAGGGUGGCGGUUCCAGCCGCCGUAGACAACGGAAGGCGUUUUUUUCGCACUUAUCUUUCCGUCGUCCGUCUGGGAAGCGUCUACCUGUUCUUUCCGUGUGGGAACUCUGUUCAAAAUGUGGGCUUCCGGAGUUUGCGCCAGUGACCAAUGCUGCAAGGGGUUCUUCCACUUGGUGCAGCGCUUGCAGUGACCGUCCGAUGUGGAUACAAAAAUGAAGACAAAAGUCUAAGGAAAAUCACUAUAUUUAACAUCAAUUUUUAUAUGUGCAAGGAGGGCUAUCGCCCUAAUCUAGCAAUAACCAGCUGAUGACAGCUAGAUUAUUCUUGUUUGUGCUUUAUCAUGAUCAAAAUAAAUUAGUUUUGUUGUCUUGUACUUCACAGAUUCUCAAAUUUUGUAUCUAUCUUUCAGACAGUUGCAUCUUCUCCCCGUACAAGUGGCUUCUGACCCAGCAUUCAGUGAAAGAUGCCAGCUAUACAGUGCUUUCAGUAUCACCGUAUAGCUAUCAUGUGUUCAAAUAUUUAACGUUUAUAUUUUCUAUGUAGUUAAAUGCAGGAUCAUAUUUGAACUCAAACGGAAUUUCAAGAUUUCUGGAUGCGUGAUUCAGCCGUUAUGGAAGAAAAUUCCUUAAAUAUAGCAUCUUUCGUCGGCUUACCUUAUAGUGUAAAAAUCAAAUUGUGUAUGAAAAAUAAAUGCUAUUGUUGUCUUAGA